rnacentral:lncRNA from 1 species
GGUGGUGCCGAGGACGAGGCGUGUCGCGGACACGGCGUCGCGACGGCGGUGCGCGGGGACAGGGCUCGGCGCGGCGGGGCGUCCGCGCGGCCGGCCAGGUCGGAGACGCGGACACGGAGAGGCUCCGUGCUCGCGGUGCUGGCCGAAGACGGGGCUCGGGGAAGAGCUCGCGGUUGUGCGUCGUGACGCGGCCACGGCGAGGUUGGUGUCGCAGGCGAAGGACCUCGACGUCGGGGUCGCGGGUGCGGCUCGGCGGUGCUCGGCGGCGUCGUGGCCCGGGGCGGGGUUGACGCGAGGGCGCGGAGCUCCUGAUGGGGCGCCGAGGUCCUGGCCGCGGCCGAGGCUCGUAAAGACGAGGUCGUCGCGGGGCACCGAGGCGGCUCGGCAGUGCUGUGGCGCCCGCGCGGCCAGCCGUGGUCGAAGCUCGACGCGGCGAGGGCAGCGUCGCGGCUGGCCACGGCUCGGCGAAGGUGGCUUCUGGGCGUCAUGUCAGCCGUCGAGGCAAGGGCGCCGUCGUCUCGGGCUCUCGGUGGCGCAGUGGGUGCUCGUCGCGGACAACUCAAGCGCCUGCGUCCCGGUGCGGCCGUGGCAUCCGCGUGGCCGUCCGCGGUCGCGAGUCCGCACGACGCCGCGGUCGCGGAGGACGCCGGGGCCUCGGUGGCGUCCAGGCUUGACGUGAAGGCGUUGUCGCGGCGCCGGUCAUGGAGGACAAGGCGGAGGGCGGCGGCGCUGGGUGGAGGGAACAGAGGACUGCGGCGGCGCCACUAGGGAAGAGCUCGAGGGCGUGGCGGCGGCUGGGCUCUUUAUAGGCGUCGAGGCUAGGGCUUCAGAGUGGAGGCGUUCAUCCUCGGCGUCCGUGUCCGCAGCGGGACACGCGGCGGGAAUCCUGGGCUGGCGCGGACAGGGACAGGAGGGGCGCUGGCGCUCGUGGCCUUUCCACCGAGCGGUGGCGGUGGCGGCUCUACCUGGGAGCGGCGCGGUUCCUAGGGUUGGGGAGAAGGGGGCGCUGCCUCCCUCAUGGGCCACGGCCUGGGCCUUGGCGACUUGGGCCGUAGGUGAAGGGGGACGAGUGAGCUGGGGGCAAGACGCGCUGGCGGGCCGUGGUGCUGCGUCGCUGGGCCUUGCGCGCGAAAGGGCCAAGCAUGGAGGAGGGAGGGCGCUGGUCGCGUGGGCCAAAGGGAGAAAAGAAAAGAAAAAAAAGGGUAGGAGGGGAGUAGGAAAUGGAUUUUGGCCCGAAAGAGAAGGAUUUUCCAUUUACGAACUUGACUCAAGGGCUUUGAGAGAGAAAUUUAAAAAGGGGAAAGAAUCGAGGGGGAUUCGAGAGAGAACUCAAAAAGAGAUUAAGAUGAGUUGCCAUGAAUUCAAGAUGGAUUUAGCGGUAGGGAUUUAGAGAGGAGGUCGACAAGAGAAAAGGUUUGAGAAGGGAAUUUCGGGGAGAGUUCGGAAAGAAUUCAAGGAAGUUGAGAAGGGAUUCGCUUCGCCUUUGAGAUAGGCUCAAAGAAAAUUUGAGAAGACUUCGCUAGGGAUUUAUGCACUCCAAAAGAAACUCAAAACCCUAAACAAGACCCAACUUAAGACGACUCACGAACAAAAUCACUCGCCUACAAACAAAUCUACAUGUAUGCCACGAUUUGUUAGCGGGUUAGGAUCGAGUUAGACCUGAAAACUAUAUGCUUCACACGGUUACAUGAAAAAUUUUAAAAAGCUCGUAUUUUUGGUUUUUUUUUUUGUAAAAAUCCGGGAUGUUACAGUCCACCCACCUUACAGGAAUCUCGUCCCCGAGAUUUAGGCGUUGCUCGGUCGGUGAAGAGACGAGGGUGUCGUUCUCAAAGCCUUUCUUACUUCUGAGUUGUUUCACUUUCAAUGUGAUCGCUCCACAAACUUUUUCCAAAAUGGGAGUGACUCUUGUUCCAAGUGUAUGCAAGGCUCACUUGCAGUCGUUGGGCAUCCAAAUUUUCACAUCAGGGCGAUGGGUGUCCAAGAAUCGCACGGGGUUGAUGAACAUCUGGCUCUCAAAGAGUGCAUGGCAGGCUUAAACGUAGCUAGGGUUGUUGGCUUUCAAUAGCUGUUUUUCGUGCAUCACUCUUUGCAAAAAGCUUUUGAAAGGAAUGUUUUUCGGAAAAACAGGUUUCAUAAAUGGAGUGAAAGCGAUUUUACAAAGUCAAAUGGAUUUUAAAGAGAGCUCAAACUGAAAAUAGCUUAUGGAAAGGGUUGAAAUCAGCGCAAAUUUUGAAAACCAAGUUUAUUUAUUUUAUUAUAAUUAUUAUUUUAAGAUUUUUGAUGUAAAAGAUUUCAAAUCAAGAGACUUUGAAACUCUUUUAGUUUUCUAGAUGAGGCGUUGCUCUCUUUUAUUUGAACUAAACAAACUAGUUUUGAAAAUGAUUAGAAAUCAUUUCUCUCUUUUGAAAGAUAAAGCUUUAACAACAAUAACAUUUUCUUUCAAAACUUGUAAGUUCAUUUUGUUUUUGCUAAUUUUUUUUUUGGAAGGCCGCAAACAAAAUUCUUUUCGCAAUGGUUUUUGUUUAAUAAAACACUGAAAAUUCCUUUUUCUUUUAGGACAAGGUGGAUUUUUAAAAGGAAUUUGGCUCUCGAGAUAAAAUCAAAGGUCUUUACAACAAAACUGAGCCAAAGAUCUUUGAUCUAAAAACCAUUUUGUUGAUGAAAAAGCAAGACUUUUGUUUUUCAGAAGAUGGUUGGUAACACCUUUUGAAAGAUAACUUAUUUUUAAAUAGUUUCAUAAAUAGAGUUUGGAUAAAAUUGAGUUGAGAAAAGGGUUAAAAUGGCUCUCUUUGUGAAAAUGAAAGAUAUUAAGAGAGUUUUGAAACACUUUUCCUUUUGAAACAAGGAUGCUUUUGUUAGAGAGGGGACAUUUUAACCAAAAGGAGAGAAAAUUUUGAAGACAGGUUCAUUUUGGAAGCCAAAAACAGUUUUGAAAUAGGCGAGCAUCACAUGAUGCAACAGCUUUACCUAACUUUUAACUUUGUUAGUCAGGGCCACCUAUCUAGUCUCGGGACGGUCUUAGGUUUAGCCGACUAGGUUGGACGGAAUCCAGAGUUUUUCUCGCAUAAAACAGGUUCUAUGACUUACACCCAGACAACAAGAAGCAGAAGAAACGCAACAACAUAAGAUCCAAGCACUCAAACAGCAUUACAACUCCUAAUGCAUAGUGUUGACUUGAGGCGACUCACAGACCUUCAAAGUCUCACACAACUAUCGAUCUAGCGUGGGCGGGUAUGGGAAAAGAUUCCAACGGUCAACUUUAUGAAACAGGGAGGUCAGUUAGCAGCAGAAUUCAAGGCGGAGGGGGGAAAACAAGUGUUAGCAUCUAUAACUCUACAAAAGAUAGAAUGUUUGGCUUCUAAACUAGUGUUUGGUCCUAAAGGUCUCGUCCUAGGGUCAAGUAUGGCUCUGAUACCAACUGAAACGACCUAGAUUUUUCCACAAAGGGGAAAAAUCCUCAGAUUCGAAUUAUAAUGUGAUAAUUCAGAUAUUGAGCCAUCACAUUAUCAUAUAUCAGCUGUUAUCGCAGUCAUACAUCGUGAAAAAGAAGAUUACAUCACAUUUACUUUACAACUCUUAGUUAACAAGCCUAUUACAUCGUUUUACUAGCGGAAACACACACGAAUCUUUUUCAGAGUCGAUGUAGCGCGUCAGCAGUGAGGGCUCCUCCUUCACGGGCAAUCAUCAGAGUCGGCGUAGUUUAUCAGCGGGCGUAGCCUUCAUCUCCGAACCAAACUUGAGCGCAGGAACGAGACCACCUAAUCCUUCUAUUCUCCGUAGUUAUCAUCAUAGACCACAUCCAAAACCUGCUAAACAAUUUUCAGUACGAUUUGUACUGGCCACUGGCUCCCACCCUAUGCUUUUGCUUAAGCUUUGUGGUAAGUGGAAUGCAAAGGGUAGAUCAAGAGGCCUAUAUAUAUGGCUGUAGUCUUUCCUAUGCAAGUUCAUCAAUAUUUAAUAAUAAUAUUUCAUCAAGUUUUAUUCCAUCUCAUCCACACAUCCAUCCAUCCAUCCCAUCACACACAUCUCACCACACUCUCACUCUCUAGGCGGCAAGUACGACUCCCGCUCGUGCCUUGCCUCAACGGCCAACGCCGGAUCCAACACAAACCCAGGGGAAGGUAGAAAGGACUCCUCUCACUAGUCAAGCGAAGCGGAACAUAGGAAAGGUCCAUAGCCGAGAAGACGGCAUAUGUAUCGAUCGAUCAACCAAACUCUGCAGAGGUUUACACUAACCACAAGAUCACCAUCAUCGACGAACCGGCUCGUCUAGGCUGAUACCGGGCUGCCUUCCAACUAAAUACGAUGCCACCCUACCACUCAGGACUGGGGCCAUACCGGAGUACCACCGGCAUGCUGAGACUGUGAGGCGUAGUACCGGGCCCCCAAGGGUCACUACGCUGUCUUAGGAGGGUGUGGGUCCUCAUGCCCGUACCUCCCUACACUAUCCGCUAUCAACCUAGUAGUAGUGGCACCGCACUAGCUGGUCGUACAUCCGUCCCGCACCAUAAUAAGGCGAGUGGCGUGUAAGGCUUCCUACGAACCGGUUCUCAGAACAUCUCAGUCCUUAGGGUAACCGAACAGGACAUCUUCACGAGGGGCCAGCCGAUGCCCCUCUCGACGGGACACCCGGCUACCCCGUGCUAAACAGCACCUCCCAUCCCGGUGCUUCGUCCCACGAAGACACUCCACUCCGGGACCUCUCCCUGUCACAUGUACCCGCCACAGGUAUCUCUCAUGGAGAACGCCCAGGUAGCGUUCCCCGGCAAGACUUGUCCCAAGACUCGUCGUAAAUCCUGCUCGGUCGACUCAACCCUCACCACACACCCAAGACACACGCCAAGAUCUCCCCAUAUCCAUUAUCCAUUUCUUAACCAGUUAUCGGCACACGUGCCUUAUCCACUCACAUCCAAUCCUCCACAAUGCAUCACAUCACAGAUAUAAUGCGUAGUAGAAGCAGUAGCAAGUAGUAUGCAAGCAUCUAACCUAACAGCGGGUGUGCGAGGGUUAUAGGUUGCAACAAGGCAAUGGCUCACAAGCAUUUCUACCAUGCAACCUAUCAUAGUUCAUUUGCAUAAAAGUAAAGCACUAGCAUCUAUAAUAUUGCAUGUCUAAUAGGAUUCUACGAGGUUGGGUGGGACGUGGCACCUGUCGAGUGACAUUUCCAGGAUCCUCAGUUCACUUGUAGUUGUACUCAUCCAAGGUCUUUCUCCUAUCUGCAUGUCCUUCCUUCGACUGGUUCCGAUUCGAUCAUCGCUAACCGAAGCAACUACCUCGUAAACGACAAUCAAGGCGAAACAAUCAAACCACUAGACCUAGAAAGAUCAUGAUAAGAGGCGACAAAACACUGAAGAACAACUACACUAAAAGAGCACCGAAAGGAAAACAACUUAGCCCUCUCGGCGGAUGUCCGAUCCCUGGGCUAAAAGAAACGGGAAUGGUUGUUCACUAAGUACAAGCCAGAGUCUUAGCCUAGCCGGUACUUCCCGGGUUAACUGAGUCAACCUGUACGGCUUUAUUAAAUGGCUUAGACUCUAACUCAUUCUAAGCAAACACCACAACUUACAGUCUUUCGAUCCAAGUGUCAUAGAGAUCGACAGGAAUCGAAAAGGCUAUGAGCACGGGAAGUUCCGGUCUCUCUCAAUCCAUACGCCAUUGUAGUUGGCGAGAGCCAAGAGAGGGUGGAACAAGGAGAGAAGAAAAAGGGAAGUGGUCUACUCCUUCCAAUCCACUUGCCAUGGUAAUAGACGGGGUAAUCAGAAAGAGUGACAUACAAGAACACGAGUGCUCAAACUACUUGUAGGGUACCACAACCUAGGUACACUGAAUGCACUAAGACAUCCCUAGGGUUCUUAGCAGUGCGGUUGUCACCACGAGAACCAAAGAAAUGCUACGGUCGAAUAGGUACAAGCAUACAAGAGUUUAAACACAAAGAACCAAAAAGGCGGGAAAAGACACGGGUUUCACUUCCUAUUGAUCCACUUGCCAUAGCAACAGCGGGAAUCGUAGAAAUGGAAUCAAAACACCAAACAAACAAAAGGGCUCAAUCCACAUAUUACUGGAUCUACAGGGAUUGAGAACAAGAGAGAAGAGGAAUGGAGUCCAUACUGUUUCGACCAACUCAUCAUGGAAUGAACGACGGUUGGAUGAAAGAGAUACGACCCCACGAUCCAACCCUACUCGUAGGGUACCACGACUGUGCAUCUAAUCAGCACACGGCUAUUCCUAAGGCCCGUAGCGAUGCGGUUGUCACCGCUAGGUCCGAGGGAAUGCUAUAGUCGAAGUGGUGCAAGCAUACGAGGUGGUUAGGAUAAACACGCGAGAAAUGGGGUAAAGCCGGAUGGUCAUGGCAAGGUGGACUUGCGACCAUUAGCUUCACCCAACGAGUUGGCUUCUGACUGUUCUACAAGGGUUGCUCCUAAUCUGUAUCCCACUAGACUAGAUCACAGAGAACUCGAAGGUGCGGGUAAGAACCGCGUCGUUAUGAAUAUCGAGUCCGCAAAGAUCAAACCCCAGGGACGAGGAUAGGAGCUAACAAGCGUAGCGUGACGAAGUCAACUAAACACGGGGAGACGAGUUACGCUCGGCAUCGCGAUCACGGCGGGACGAACCCACGAUCGAAAUGAUCAAACGCACUACCACUUCCCCGACCGGCUCGAAGGCUCAGUCCUCAGGCAAAUAACAAAAGAAAGAACGACGACAACCCGAGAAGGGAUAUGCUUGGCACUACGACCAUGGCGAGACAACUCGCGAUCGCAACAUUCAAACACAUCACUCUCUCAACCGGCUCGAAGGCACGGUUCACAACCAACCAACCACAUGACACAAGAACCAACGCACAAAGAACCACAAUGCCGCGACCAACACAAAGACAAAGUAGAGUAGCACAUUUCCAUAGCGACCAACAGAGAUAGAUAAACGGAUAGAUAAACAGACCGGCACGAAGGCACGGCACAGGCAUAGAAUAAAUAAUUCAUGUAUCGACAAGUAUAGAUAGAUGGAUAAAGAUGAAUCAUAUAGCAAGUGUAUGAAAGCAGAAUAGGGUUUUUGUUGGCAUCGGGAAUGACGCCAACUAGGGUUCGGGGCUCGACCUUGGAGCCGAUGGGCUGUGGUAGCAGCUGUUGUUCUUCGGAUGCAGCGAAGUGGUGGUCAUGCUUGGUCGCGCGGCUUCGUCAUUGGCCGGUGCUCGGCAAGGUGUUGCAAAGGCGAUCAGCGGUGCUGCGAGGUUCCACUCAUGGUAGCUCUAGCGUUGCGGCUUCCAUGGGAAGGUGCAGCAGGUCCGAGGCCUCCCUGUGACAGUGGUUGAACACGGCACCCAGGCCGACUGUUAGCCAAGAACCACGGUAUGGUCUUCAGAACGGAAAGAAAGGUAUGGCCUUGGCUUGAGAGCUCACCGAUGACAGAGAAGGGCUUGGCGAGGACGAGGCGAGCACGGCACUGACGAGGGGAACUGGUGGGGGCGCUGCUCGACGUCGUGGCCGCAGGGGUGGUGCUUGGCGCUCGGGUUCGCGGUCACCACGGGGUUGCUGGGUCACGACCAGCGCUGCGGACGACGGUGUCGUGGAGGAGGGCUCGGAGCAGAACUCGGUGAGGACGCAGCGUCGCGGGGUCGGGGCUCCUGCUCGGCGAGGGCGCGGAGAUCCUACUCGACGUCGAGGUAGAGGCGCGGCUUGACGGCGGCGGGUGCGCGGGGUGGUGCCGAGGACGAGGCGUGUCGCGGACACGGCGUCGCGACGGCGGUGCGCGGGGACAGGGCUCGGCGCGGCGGGGCGUCCGCGCGGCCGGCCAGGUCGGAGACGCGGACACGGAGAGGCUCCGUGCUCGCGGUGCUGGCCGAAGACGGGGCUCGGGGAAGAGCUCGCGGUUGUGCGUCGUGACGCGGCCACGGCGAGGUUGGUGUCGCAGCCUCGGCCCUUGGCGAAGGACCUCGACGUCGGGGUCGCGGGUGCGGCUCGGCGGUGCUCGGCGGCGUCGUGGCCCGGGGCGGGGUUGACGCGAGGGCGCGGAGCUCCUGAUGGGGCGCCGAGGUCCUGGCCGCGGCCGAGGCUCGUAAAGACGAGGUCGUCGCGGGGCACCGAGGCGGCUCGGCAGUGCUGUGGCGCCCGCGCGGCCAGCCGUGGUCGAAGCUCGACGCGGCGAGGGCAGCGUCGCGGCUGGCCACGGCUCGGCGAAGGUGGCUUCUGGGCGUCAUGUCAGCCGUCGAGGCAAGGGCGCCGUCGUCUCGGGCUCUCGGUGGCGCAGUGGGUGCUUGUCGCGGACAACUCAAGCGCCUGCGUCCCGGUGCGGCCGUGGCAUCCGCGUGGCCGUCCGCGGUCGCGAGUCCGCACGACGCCGCGGUCGCGGAGGACGCCGGGGCCUCGGUGGCGUCCAGGCUUGACGUGAAGGCGUUGUCGCGGCGCCGGUCAUGGAGGACAAGGCGGAGGGCGGUGGCGCUGGGUGGAGGGAACAGAGGACUGCGGCGGCGCCACUAGGGAAGAGCUCGAGGGCGUGGCGGCGGCUGGGCUCUUUAUAGGCGUCGAGGCUAGGGCUUCAGAGUGGAGGCGUUCAUCCUCGGCGUCCGUGUCCGCAGCGGGACACGCGGCGGGAAUCCUGGGCUGGCGCGGACAGGGACAGGAGGGGCGCUGGCGCUCGUGGCCUUUCCACCGAGCGGCGGCGGUGGCGGCUCUACCUGGGAGCGGCGCGGUUCCUAGGGUUGGGGAGAAGGGGGCGCUGCCUCCCUCAUGGGCCACGGCCUGGGCCUUGGCGACUUGGGCCGUAG